rnacentral:rRNA from 13 species
UCCGGCCGGGAACUCAAAGGAGACUGCCAGUGAUAAACUGGAGGAAGGUGGGGAUGACGUCAAGUCAUCAUGGCCCUUACGACCAGGGCUACACACGUGCUACAAUGGCGCAUACAAAGAGAAGCGACCUCGCGAGAGCAAGCGGACCUCAUAAAGUGCGUCGUAGUCCGGAUUGGAGUCUGCAACUCGACUCCAUGAAGUCGGAAUCGCUAGUAAUCGUGGAUCAGAAUGCCACGGUGAAUACGUUCCCGGGCCUUGUACACACCGCCCGUCACACCAUGGGAGUGGGUUGCAAAAGAAGUAGGUAGCUUAACCUUCGGGAGGGCGCUUACCACUUUGUGAUUCAUGACUGGGGUGAAGUCGUAACAAGGUAACCGUAGGGGAACCUGC